rnacentral:rRNA from 1 species
UACAGAGGUCCCAAGCGUUGUUCGGAUUCAUUGGGCGUAAAGGGUGCGUAGGCGGCGCGGUAAGUCGGGUGUGAAAUCUCGGGGCUUAACUCCGAAACUGCAUUCGAUACUGCCGUGCUUGAGGACUGGAGAGGAGACUGGAAUUCCUGGUGUAGCGGUGAAAUGCGCAGAUAUCAGGAGGAACACCGGUGGCGAAGGCGGGUCUCUGGGCCGAUGACUGACGCUGAGGCACGAAGGUCAGGGGAGCAAACGGG